rnacentral:rRNA from 1 species
UGCGUAGGCGGUCUUUCAAGUCAGGAGUGAAAGGCUACGGCUCAACCGUAGUAAGCUCUUGAAACUGUAAGACUUGAGUGCAGGAGAGGAGAGUGGAAUUCCUAGUGUAGCGGUGAAAUGCGUAGAUAUUAGGAGGAACACCAGUUGCGAAGGCGGCUCUCUGGACUGUAACUGACGCUGAGGCACGAAAGCGUGGGGAGCAAACAGGAUUAGAUACCCUGGUAGUCCACGCCGUAAACGAUGAGUACUAGCUGUCGGAGGUUACCCCCUUCGGUGGCGCAGCUAACGCAUUAAGUACUCCGCCUGGGAAGUACGCUCGCAAGAGUGAA